rnacentral:sRNA from 1 species
AGAAAUUACUAAGAUCUAGAAGACAGGCAUGAUCUUAAAUUCAUGAGAUGUUAAAGAAGAGUUGAAGUGUUAUAGGAAGAAGUCAAGCCAGGCAGAAAGAAAGUUAAUUACUAGUCCUUGUGUAUCUCCAAAUAGAAACAAUCUGAAGAUACAAGAGGAAAGGAGACUCCUGCCUUGGCAUUAACCCUAAGAAGCAGUGCAUAUCUUGGGAAGGGACUUCCACAGAGAAGAAGCAUUCACGCAAGCAGGUUGAACGCUAUUUUACUAAGAAGAGUGUGGGAUUAAUGAACAUCGAUGGAGUUGCCAUUAGCAGUAAAACUGAACCUCCCUCAUCUGAGCCCAUCUCCUUUAUACCAGUGAAGGACUUGGAAGAUGCGGCUCCUGUUACAACCUGGUUGAAUCCUCUGGGGAUUUAUGAUCAGUCAACCACACAUUGGCUACAAGGACAGGGUCCUCCAGAGCAGGAAUCAAAGCAGCCAGACGCACAGCCAGACAGCGAGAGUGCGGCUCUCAAGGCCAAGGUGGAGGAGUUUAACAGGAGGGUGCGGGAGAAUCCUCGGGAUACGCAGCUGUGGAU